GGAGAGAUGGCCGAGUGGUUGAAGGCGUAGCAUUGGAACUGCUAUGUAGGCUGCCCUACUCCCUCAAUCCU
rnacentral:tRNA from 1 species